rnacentral:lncRNA from 1 species
GAAUAUAAUUGAGGCCAGGUAUUGUAAUAAUUGAGCAUCAUAGUGAGGAAUUGUGGAUUCAAUAAUUACUUGAUGCAGUACCUGUAAAGAUGGUGAAUGUCAACAGGUCAAUGGUAGUAGCAGCAACAGCACUAGGUUUAGGAAACAGUUUGGGGAAGAACAGAAGUGUAGCCUUUAUGAUCAAGAACGGUGUUCCAUAUGCGUAACAUACACACUUAAGCAGCAGGAGUAGGAUCUCUCCUGGAUAUGUGGCCAUGCUUUGUCAACAUGACACCUUGGUAGGAUGAGGCUGACUGGAACAUGUUUUAAAUAUCUAUAGUUAGCAAAAAAUCCAGUCAUCUAGGUAUAAUAGAUCCAAGGUGGGGCAGGACAGGACCAUGCACAUUCUGAGAGUAUUCGAUCACACCCUGGAACUAUUAGCAGGUGCCUGGCCUCACUCACCCGACAAGCUCAAGGUGGCGUGUCAUGAAAUGCUAAGAUCCAAUACAGGUACCUAACAUACUGUCAGUAAUUUGGAUGUUCUUGCUAGAGAGGCUCCCUAAUCAGGUAGACAAUGCCAUAAGAAAAGGUGACCAGAACCAACUACACUUGGAGAUUUAGGAUCACUUCCCAUCACUUGGCCCUGCAUUAAUAGCGAUAAACGAAGCGAGAGAACAAUGACAAGAUGCAAAUAGCCAAACAAAAUACAUAAAGCCAACACUGGAAUUUCAGAUAUAAUCAGAAGACAUAUCCAAGAGAAAGACAAUUGACAUUUCAAAGUUAGGUACCUGGCACCAGCUCUUCACCUUUGGAUCAUUGCAGGUCAUUUAUCACCAGGUCAUGUUGCACUUCU